CUAGCACAGGUAUUAGAUACUACAGCCACACUAGGAUAUUAUCAACAGAUAGACGAGGAUAAGAGGAGCUAGCACAGGUAUUAGAUACUACAGCCACACUAGGAUAUUAUCAACAGAUAGAUGAGGAUGAGAGGAGCUAGCAAAGGUAUUAGAUACUACAGCCACACUAGGAUAUUAUCAACAGAUAGAUGAGGAUAAGAGGAGCUGGCACAGGUAUUAGAUACUACAGCCACACUAGGAUAUUAUCAACAGAUAGAUGAGGAUAAGAGGAGCUAGCACAGGUAUUAGAUACUACAGCCACACUAGGAUAUUAUCAACAGAUAGAUGAGGAUAAGAGGAGCUAGCACAGGUAUUAUGGAGAAGCAAGAGGAAAUUCAAUAACGAUAAGGUAACGAUAACGAUACACUGAUAUGGACAUUAACCCUGGCACAGCACUGAUACACUGAUAUGGACAUUAACCCUGGCACAGCACUGAUACACUGAUAUGGACAUUAACCCUGGCACAGCACUGAUACACUGAUAUGGACAUUAACCCUGGCAUAGCACUGAUACACUGACAAA
ensembl:lncRNA